AUAAUAAUAGUAAUAAUAAUAGUAAUAAUAAUAAUAAAACAGUUUAUUAAGCCAUUACUGAAAUUACUAUAUCAAUCAUUUCACUCGAUAAUGUGGAUAUUAACAUAAAAAGCAAAAGAAAUGCGAUAUGGUAGGUAAACGCUUAAUACACAUCGGACCACAAACAAAAAAUCUAUAUAAAUAAGUUAAUAAACAAGAGUUAUUGUGUUUAAGUGAGAUUACAUUUUCAUACUGCAAAUGAAAUUUUACGAACGAUCGUACGAACCGUAAUUUAUUUUAUCCAUUAGUUUAGGAAGAUCAAGCAAAUCGGAGAGAAAGUUUGAGUCUCACUUUUGAUGGGAUAUCUAUCGUUCGCGAGGUGUCAAUAAAAUAACGAUCCUCCCCCCGAACCCGCCACCCACCCAACCCCAUCAGGGUGUCACGAGAGAUGAGAUAAAUAUGGGUAUUUGAACGCAGCAGAUAAUGCAAACAAACCCUCGUCGUCGACACGUGUGUCUCGUAUGGCCGCUGGAACUGUACUACUCUGUAUUUACUUGGAAGGACGAACGGUUGCUGAGAUAAACAUACGAAAGCUUCUCGUCCGGACUUUGUAAUAAACUCGCGAGCUCGGUACGUAAA
rnacentral:lncRNA from 1 species